rnacentral:rRNA from 1 species
UACGGAGGAUCCAAGCGUUAUUCGGAGUGACUGGGCGUAAAGAGCUGCGUAGGGGGUUUGUUAAGCAAAUAGUGAAAUCUUGUGGCUCAACCAUAAGGCUAUUAUUUGAACUGGCAGACUUGAGAAUAUGAGAGGUAGAUGGAAUUCCCAGUGUAGGAGUGAAAUCCGUAGAUAUGGGGAGGAACACCGGUGGCGAAGGCGGUCACCUGGACGGAUACUGACGCUGAGACGCGAAAGCGUGGGGAGCAAACAGG